rnacentral:rRNA from 1 species
GACAGAGGGUGCAAACGUUGUUCGGAAUUACUGGGCGUAAAGCGCGUGUAGGCGGCCCUGCAAGUCGGAUGUGAAAUCCCUCGGCUUAACCGGGGAACUGCGUCUGAUACUGGAUGGCUUGAGAUUGGGAGAGGGAUGCGGAAUUCCAGGUGUAGCGGUGAAAUGCGUAGAUAUCUGGAGGAACACCGGUGGCGAAGGCGGCAUCCUGGACCAACACUGACACUGAGGAGCGAAAGCCAGGGGAGCAAACGGG